CCUACGGGAGACUGCAGUGAGGAAUAUUGGUCAAUGGGCGAGAGCCUGAACCAGCCAAGUCGCGUGAGGGAGUACUGCCCUAUGGGUUGUAAACCUCUUUUGUCGGGGAGCAAAAGCCGGACGUGUCCGGCUGUGAGAGUACCCGAAGAAAAAGCAUCGGCUAACUCCGUGCCAGCAGCCGCGGUAAUACGGAGGAUGCGAGCGUUAUCCGGAUUUAUUGGGGUUAAGGGGUGCGCAGGCGGAUUUUUAAGUUAGCGGUAAAAUCGUGGGGCUCAACCCCGUCCAGCCGUUGAAACUGGGGAUCUAGAGUGUGCGAGAGGUAUGCGGAAUGCGUGGUGUAGCGGUGAAAUGCAUAGAUAUCACGCAGAACACCGAUUGCGAAGGCAGCAUACCGGUGCACAACUGACGCUCAGGCACGAAAGCGUGGGUAUCGAACAGGAUUAGAUACCCUGGUAGUC
rnacentral:rRNA from 1 species